CUUGCAAAUAGAAGCCCCCACCAUGGCAUCUGAACUUGGUUAUUCAAGAAAAUGCAGAGGAUUAGGGAGACUGUGAGCGUCACCAGAAGCAAUGCAUUAAACCACCAAGAAGGUAGGAUUUUGGACUGGUUGUGGCAUUUCGAUGACACUAAUCAGGUCAUUGCUAAAUAUGUGCUAUACCAUUAAGGGAAUCAAUGUGCUUUGCUCCAAUGCAAAGUAGAUGGAGUUAGACUAGAGCUAAAUUGGACUGUAAUGACUUGAAUUUGGGAGCCUAUUUUAAUCUUCUAAUUCAGCUUAGAGAUGUCAGCAGGUGGACCAUCUUGGUUAUCGAAUGGCGCUCAACAGCGAAGGUAAAGGGAUGGCUUCAGAUUACAUCAUAAGUUCCUUCCCACUAUUGAAAUAUUAUCAUGCAAAAUUUUCAGUAUGCAUAGGUUUGUAAAUCGAACACAUUGUGAAAAAGUUUGAUUCUACUAACAGCCAACUGUGAAUACUAUGAAAAUAUUCAAUGUACAAAUGUAAAAUUCUCUCUUUGACA